rnacentral:lncRNA from 1 species
GGCGACCGCAAAAGGCAGGUGCCCAGCCACUAACUUCGGGCUCUGGGCCGAGGGCCGCUCCCCUGAGAAGAGGCCAGUUUGGAGGCCGCGGCAGGCAGCGUUUCCCGCCCUGCUGGUCUCCGGGGUGGCGCUCACUGCGAUCCCAGGAGGGUCGGCUAACAUCUUCCUUUUACAGACCAGGGAUUGAAGCAGGACAGACUGGGAGUUGCCGUUCCUCUCAUUCCUUCCCCAUCAGUCAGGGGUGCCUGAGAGAUGACGUCCACCCAGACGUAAAGCAGAUGGUUUUUCUAUGGGAAGCAAGGCCCGUGAGAACGUUCUUUCCUGGAACUCCCAAAUCAUGGACAUUAGUCAACAGCCAUGCCACAGCCUACCCGGACAUACUAUGUUCAUGUAGAGUCAUGUAUUCAUCUCCAGCUGUAGAAAAGAAUAUAUCAAAGCCCAUGUUUCUACACUGACUACCAGAGUUAUUGUUCUGCCUCAGUGUAGACCAACAGCUUAACUCCACUUCAACCCCUAGCCUGGGGGACGUCCAUAGGCUGCGGGUGCAGCAAGGAAAAAAGGACAAAGAAAUAGCGUCUUGAGAACACUGGCUUGAGAUGGGAAGAAAUCAGGGCUGCAGGGCCGUAGGGGGAGGUGUGUGUCUGCUCCACUACACAGCAGCAGCGACGUAAGCAUCAGAAAUUAGGCAGGAAGGUUACAGAGACACCCUCCCAUCCCCAUUUAAGACUGGAAAUAGGAUGAAGUUGAAGGGAAGGGGUGAGAGCAGAGCUGGGCCCCUUCCAGCCGUCACCACAGGCCUGGGGCUGCACCCCGGCGGGAGGCUGCUCACUGGGACCCCUGGGUUCUGACCAACAGGAGGGCAGCCCAGCCUGCCCCUAACUCCACAGGGCCAGUGGGCGCUGUCCAGCGGGGCCUCCACUGGGGGCUGCCACCUGGCUGGAGGAAACAGGGCGAGCUCUCAAAACUGUAAGUGCUCCCUCUCGAGCCCACCAGAGGCUUCCUAGGGUUUCAUGGUCUCCCUCGCAGGCCUCUCUGCUGUGUUUGCUAUCAUGACAGGGCCACUUACCAUUGCCCGCCAUGGUCCUUCGGGAGUUAAUGCCAGACAGCUGCCUCGGAGACACUGGCUCUCUGCUGAUGGAGCCAGGCUGGGGGGAGCCUGUCCCUGUGGGAAUGUAUAAAGGCCACCCAGGGGGACCAGCCAUCCUGCCUCAGAGUCCCCCUGAGGAGGAGCCAGCUGUCUGCUCCCUCCCUGAGUUGCGCAGUAGACCCAAGUCCACGUCCGGGUUGUGAUAACUAUUCAGCCGGCCAGCAAGGCUUUUGAAGCAAAACGGUCUAACUGGAGUUGGAGAAGGACAGCAUCCAGAAACACCAGUUCCGUAGGGGGUGAGCUGCAAGGAACAAGCAAGAAGCUCAUACACUAUGCAUCGCCAGGAGUUCCCAUCGUGGCACAGCGGAAAUGAAUCUGACUAGGAACCAUGAGGUUUCAGGUUCGAUCCCUGGCCUCAAUCAGCAGGUUAAGGAUCUGGCGUUGCCAUGAGUUGUGGUGAAGGUUGCAGACGCGGCUCGGAUCUGGUGGUGGUGUAGGCCAGCAGCUGUAGCUCCGAUUAGACCCCUAGCCUGGGAACCUCCAUAUGCCAUGGGUGUGGCCCUAAAGAGACCAAAAAAAAAAAAAAAAAAAAAAACAUCGCCAAAGAGGGUCACUGGGCCCUGAGCAUGUGCUCUCAACACCCCCACUCCACCCUUCUGCACAGCAUUGAAAGCUUCCUGGAGGAGAAGGCCCCUUACAGAGGCCUGAGGGGAGGGAAGUCUGUCUAAGCAAAACAUGGACAAAAUGUAUCUGCUGCAAAUUACAAGAAGCUGAUGAAAGAUCAAAGAAGAACUAACUAAAUGGAGACAUGUUAUCAUGUUCACGGACUGGAGGAUUCAACUUUUCCCCAAAUUAAUUUAAAGGUUUAAUGCAAUUCCUAUCAAAAUUCAAAAAAGAAUGUUGGCAGAAACAGGUAAGCUUAUUCUGAAAUUUAUACUGACAAGAGAGCAGGAGGUCUGGCUUGCGAGUGGCCACUUCUCUGUUGCGUGUGGGGAAAGAAUAAAUUUAAAGUGGGUGAUGUUGAGAAGGGCAAGAAGAUUCUUGUUGGGAAGUGUCCUCAGUGCUGUACCGUGGAGGAGGAAGGCAAGCACAAGACUGGCUCCAACCUCCAUGGUCUGGUUGGACUGAAGACGGGCCAGCCUCCUUGGAUUCACUCACCCGAGGAGAGGAGACGCUGGCGGAGACGUGGACAAUCCCGCAAAGGACCUCCCUGGAACAAAAAUGCUCUUUGCUGCCCUUAGGAAGCGGGGAGAAGGGAAGACGUGGUAGCUUAUCUCAAGAAAGCUCCUGAUGAGAACAGAGUGCCGUCGUGGCUCAGUGGUCACGAACCCAACUGGUAUCCAUGAGCAUGUGGGUUCAAGUCUUGGCCUUGCUCAGUGGGUUAAGGAACUGGCAUUGCCGGGAGCUGUGGUGUAGGUCGCAGACACAGCUCGGAUCUGGCGUUGCUGUGGCUGUGGUGUAGGCCGGCAGCUACAGCUCUGAAUAGACCCCUUGCCUGGGUAUGGCCCUCAAGAAAAGACAAAACAAAACCCUGUAGGCGAUUGGUUUUAUAUAUAGAUUUCUAGAACUCGUUUUAUUAAUAUGUUUAAAUACUGAGAAGAUCCCUUUACGGUCUCAGAACAGAGCAAGAUUCACCUGCGUUUCAAGCUCUGUUCACUAACCUGUUAAGGCAAGAGUGGAGGAUAAAUUGACACCGUCCCCUGUAUCUUUUUGGUCUUAAUGAUGCUAAUUUCAUUAAAAGUUCUCUGUGUCUAAA